CCACCCAUAGGUGUUGGAGACUAUAUAGGAGAGGCAGCUUGGAUUCCUUGGUCUUCCUCCUGCAGGAGGAGAAGACAGGACUUGCACUUCUCCUCUUGGCCGAGGUUGUACUCCCCUCCUCUGAGAAGUUGUAAUAAUUAAGUCCCAAGUCAUCUUUAUGGGAAGGAAGACAGCCACUGGAAAACUUAGAGCACUGAGCUCCUACCAGUAGCACCAACAGUAUACACAGCAACAGCAGAUUUUGCAACUGGUGCUGUAAGGAUAGAUCAACAGCAACACUGCUGGUUCUGAUUGAGAGAUGAGUCUACAGUAUUAGUGAAGUCGAAAAUCUUAAGUGCCGAUGGUGUUACCUACGCGAUACAUUUGUGAAGAAAUACAGGAUACUUCAAAAAAAGAAGGCAGGGAUUUGUAAAAAACAAGUAACCCAAUGGCCAUUGUAUGAAAAAAUGGCCUUUUUGGUUCCUUACAUGAAGUCACCUCGGGAUCCAUCACUGAAAAACAUUUCCAGUCCUGCACAAGACCAUUUAGACAAUAACCCCCCUGUUCCAAAGACUGAGCGGAUGGAGACUUUGAACUGGUGCUCCGAGUCUUCUGUUCCCAGCUAUGAUGACAGCGAACACUUCUUAAGAAGUCUCUUGCCAAUUUUAAAACAAUUAGAUCCAGUUACAAAACUGGAAUUCCGGCUUGAGGUUCAGCAGCUUCUUCUGCAUUUUGCCAGACAAGCUGAGCUGUGCUCACCUGAUGCUGAACCUAAUACGAAAAUAAUAGUUAACACUCCAACAGAAACAGAAUAUGUUGUGGAAUCGCUAGAAGAGUCCUUUGAAAAUUCCUAAAAUUUCAGAAGCAUGCAUAAGAAAACGAUGGAGUUGUCUUCGUGACUAUUUCUUGUUUCAACAUAAGAUUCUUUUGGGUAAGAAAACAGGAAAACAUGGUAAAAGAAAAAAGAAAUGGCCACUUUAUGACAAAAUGACUUUCUUGAUUCCUCAGUUGAGAUCAAGAAAGGAUAUUCAAGCUCUAACCUCAACUGGACAAAAUUCAAAUCAAAAUGAAAUAGAUUGCAACAGUAAGCCAACUGUGUUUCAUCCAAGUGACAGAAACAAAUCUGAUCUAGUCAGCAUUGAAUCAUCAGUAGUUCUGCCUGUGGAAUCUGACUUUACAGAGCCUCUCGCUAAAAUUCAGCACACUGUCCCAGCUAAGUCUCACAAAACUUGCUUGAGUAGCCAAGGAAAUGUUUACUCUUUUAAAAGUGACCAUGGCAACCUUGAUGAUGAUACUCAUUUUAUCAUGAGUCUGUUACCUAUGAUGCGAAAACUUGAUCCUCUCACUAGACUUGAGUUCCGUAUAGAAGUCCAGUCACUUCUUUUGAGAUGCCAGAAGAAAGCAACAUCUGGAUCUUCUUUUGAACCGCCAAGAAAAAUCAGUGUCUGGUCUUCUCAACAGUAGUUCUGAGAUAGUAAUUUUGAUUGAAAAUACUACCCGAGAAACUUUUGUUGCCUUAUAAGAACGAAUAACCCAUGGUUGCAUAAGAAAGUUUUUUUUUUAUGUAAUGAGCAUUCAAAACUGUUGAUAUAUUUUUCGAAUCACUAAGUUAGAGUAAUCCCUUUUCCCAUAGAAACUAGUUGUCGUCAUAGUAAAAAAGUAGCUAAUGUAGCAAGUUUAUGGAGAUGUUUUACAUAUACUUGAAAAACGAAUUUAAAGAUCCACAUGUAAACCUGCCAGAUGAUAUACAGGUACUGUAUAAACUAAUUUAAAAUUAUAAUUUAGUCUACCUGUGCUACACAUUUGACUUGUCACUCACUGUGAUUGCACCAUGCACAUUUCUCUAUGGAAGCAUAAUGAUAAACUGUUAUAAAUGCUGACACUGCACCAUUCUUAAUUAUACUGGCAAGAAAUUCGGUACCUACAUAUAGGUACAGUCCGUUGAGGAAAUAGUUUUUUCUUUAUGUAUAAAAUUGUCUCCUCCUUGUUUGCUAUGCAACACCAUGUUUAUUCAAUCAAAAGUACAUAAAGGAUAUUUUAAACCUGUUUUGUAUUUAAAUAUAUAAAGCAUUCUUUCACAAUAUCAAAUUUUGUCAAUAGUAUGUACUAUUGCAACUUAAGAAACUAGUCCAGAUCACUUCAUUAAUGGCCAUAGCAAGCAAGUCAACUGCUGCAGGGAUGCCUUUCCUAUUGUAACUGCUCAACAUUUUUUCACUGUACAUAUGGAAAGCCAUUACUAUAGCUAGGUGGAGAAGAGCAAGGUGACAAUUUUUUCAAGUGCUGUAAUGCUUUGUGUCUAUUUAAUAAAGAAGAAAAUUAUUGUGAUUAUCAUUUUUUGCUAUGCUGCUAUUUCUGAUGCGAUAUAAUUUUUGAUGAAUCUUUCAAACUGAAUGCUGUGUGUAGAUUACAGGUUAGUUAGGUGAAGAACCAUGUGGAAUUGCUGUUAACUGUAAGAUAUCUGGAAAAUAUUCAAGUGUUGUUUAUAAUAUAAGGUCUUUGUUAAUCA